AAAGCCUCAGUAGCCCCGGUUAAGCUGCAAACCGGUUAAUCCGCCCCCGGAUAAUCGAGAGUUGACUGUACAUAUUUAUGUGUAUAGUACAUCAUAGAGCAGUAGAGAUGGGUUUUGAAUAGAGGAAUACUUUGUGACUGUGGCAUGCUUACAGUAUUUCAUGUUUAAAUUAAACAGUUUUCUUUGUGUUGCAUGCUGCAUGUUUGUAGUGCUACAAGAUAUUAGAGUUGUUUGCUGUUGCUAACCUUUCCAUCUGAUGGGAAAUGAACUGAGUUCAAUGGUACAAAAUGUCAGUUGGUAUGAGUAUUUGUUUAUUUCUGAUUGCUGAAUGUACAAAAGACAUUUUCUUGUUGAUUGGAAAGGGAUAUGACAUGACAUGACUUGACAUUCUCCUACAGUUAAGAUGUUAAUUCAGCAGUGGAAGCUAGAUAUUAGUAAAGUAUAGUCACUGAAACUGAUAGCUUAGAAAUAUAAUUCUGCAGCAUCAUUUGCUUUUUGCUGUAUGUUAUAUAUGCUCUUCCACCUUCUGCUGUGAGUAAAUUCAUUGAUCAGCUAGUUACAAAUCAGUCUAUCAUCAGUGUAUCAUUUGGACUGAGUAUGUUGGGAUAACUAUUAAACUGUUAUGGAUUGAUCAGAUGUAUACAAAGUAUGCUAUAUUGGUCAUUGCAGACAAAUAUCUUAUUGUGGUAUACAUUGAUUGUAAAAAGAAAGUUAAAUAAAGAUAUGUUGAUUCUGCUCGUGGAGAAAUAAAAUAGUAUAAUUAAUUAAUCCAGAGGAUCAUGAGACUUGCACACAUCUUUUCAUUGUGAGUAUCAGAUAGCUAAAAACUGAGCAGUCUCUCAUAAGAUCCAAAAAUAAAGUGGUUUGUCUUUGAGGCACUCCUUUUUCCUGUAGAUCUCCACUUUCUUGGAGGGAACAUUAACUGAAGAUUGUGAAGUAACUUGAAAAUUUAGUGUAAUUAUAUAAUUCAUUAAUAAAAUCGCACAAAAUCAUUAAUAUUCAGAGAUUUAUUAUAUUAGAAUGAUAUAACAGUAAUAGCUUUUAAUUGCACCUAAAUUCAGUGCAGUUAUUGCCCCCCACCAUACCCCUUUUAUUGACUGAAUGCACUGCAACCGAUGCUAAUUCUUGGGCACUCUUGAGCAAGUGAUCUCUGAUUGCUGACACUUUUCUUGCCAAGGAACCCUUUCUUCAUUAUGCAUAAGAUGUACCUUACAUUCGUCACUCAAUGACUUUUCAUCAGCAGAGCUCUACUUCAUGUUUCACCACAUGUUGGCUGCCGCUAUAUCACCAGAAGAUAUCCUGCUCCAUGGUCCUGGAAUGUGUUCCAAUUUGUGUCAUUGUCAGUAGAAUAGUGGGCAGUGUGUAAAUGGAUUUACAAGUUGCUCUUUUCCUCAGAAGAGUGUGAAGGCUCCUGAAAUUGUGAACAUCACCAAAUUUGUCUCCAGUGGGUCAGUAAGUCUGGCUUCUCUUGUUAUAUACAUUGAGAUAGUACAAUACGAGGGCAGUGACUUGCAUCUAGUCAGUCAGUUUAACAAACCCCAUAUUCCCACCAGACUAAAGCAAAGCUUGUCUUCUUCAAAGAAGUGUAUUUUGAAUUGUGUGCUUUUUAGUUUAUACAUAUAUUAAUUAGUACUAAAUAAAUAACACCAGGGAUCU